UACAGAGGGUGCAAGCGUUGCUCGGAAUCAUUGGGCGUAAAGGGCAAGUAGGUGGUCUCAUUUGUCUAGGGUGAAAUCCUUGAGCUUAACUCAAGAAGUGCCCUAGAGACGGUGAGACUCGAGUACUGGAGAGGGUCGUGGAAUUCCCGGUGUAGCGGUGAAAUGCGUAGAGAUCGGGAGGAACACCAGAGGCGAAAGCGGCGCUCUGGGUCGCACCUGACGCUGAACUGCGAAAGCCAGGGUAGCGAACGGG
rnacentral:rRNA from 1 species